CCUACGGGAGGCAGCAGUGGGGAAUAUUGCGCAAUGGGGAAACCCUGACGCAGCGACGCCGCGUGAAGGAUGAAGGCCUUCGGGUUGUAAACUUCUUUUAUCAGGGACGAAGGAUGUGACGGUACCUGAUGAAUAAGCCACGGCUAACUACGUGCCAGCAGCCGCGGUAAU
rnacentral:rRNA from 1 species